AGUCCCGUAGUGUAGCGGUCCAUCAUAUCGGGUUUUGGUCCCGAUAACCUCGGUUCGAAUCCGAGCGGGACUA
rnacentral:tRNA from 2 species